GGACGCAUCACUGGUGUUCGGGUUGUCAUGCCAAUGGCACUGCCCGGUAGCUAAAUGCGGAAGAGAUAAGUGCUGAAAGCAUCUAAGCACGAAACUUGCCCCGAGAUGAGUUCUCCCUGACCCUUUAAGGGUCCUGAAGGAACGUUGAAGACGACGACGUUGAUAGGCCGGAUGUGUAAGCGCAGCGAUGCGUUGAGCUAACCGGUACUAAUGAACCGUGAGGCUUAACCUU
rnacentral:rRNA from 1 species